ACCUCCCUCCUCCACUCUUCAUAUUUUUCUUCUUCUUGCAUUUUACAUAUAAACCUUGUGAGAUUUGAAUGAUCUUUGAGAGAGUUUUAGUAGAUCAAUUUAAGAGAUGAUUAAAGAAAAGAUUAAAGCUUGAGGUUGAAAGUGUGAACGAGAUAGAGACCUAGUCGAGAGAGAGACAUACCGUUCUCAUGUAGCGUUAGUUGAAUGUGUUUGACGCUUGCUAAGGCUGUUAGCAAUUGGGGAUAGUUAAGGUAUCCUGGUGUCGUGAAGACUUGCAAGAUGUGAAUGUCUUUGGCUAGGAGUUCAAAAUCAGCUUAGGGUUUUGUUUCAGAGUGUUGUCUGUGUUUGUUUGGGAAGUUUGUUGUUAAAGCUGAAUGCUUAAUUUGUGUGUGUGGUUUUGACCUUUACUUGUUGUCAAAUACUCUGUACGCAAUUAUAUUCAAGUGGUCAAAAAUUUUAUGACCUUGGGCAUUGCGCUGGGCCUAUUUAUGGAAAAGACUUAGACCGAACAGCUCGUACUCUGAUUUAUCAUUUUUAUUAUUCCUAAAAGGACAGUGGUCCAUAUUUUGUAAGGCAUUAAUUUUGAAAAAAAAUACACUCGCGCUGUUAAAAAUCGGGGUGU